UGGACCUUAGGUUAAAUUUUAUUAUGUGAUUAAUUAAAUUAAAUGUGAGAGACAUUUAAUUUAAUUAAUUAAUGUUAAGUUUGGUGAUUAAAACUUAAUAAGAGUGAAAAAAGGUGUCAAAAGUCAAUUUGGACUUUUCUUCUUAUGAAACCUUUAUUAACCUUUAUAAAAAAAAAUAUAUAAUAAAAAAAAAUUAAUGGUCACAUAUAUGGAAAAGGGUGGCUGGCCAUGUGCUAUUUUAGAGUGGUGUGAACCCAAUUUUAUAAAAUUCAAAUCCCAUUUAAUUAAGAAGUCAAGUGGGCAAGUGGGUAGAAAAGCACUCAAGUGUUUUGUGAUAUUUUGAAGAGUUGUGUGAGCCAUUCUAACCCCCAAAUCUGACCACUCUCCCUCCCUCAUUCACUCUCAUCUGAUUUUUGAAGACUCUCUCAAGUGUUCUCUCCAUUUUCAACCCCAAGAACACCAAAGAAACUUGGAAGCUAAGUCUUGGUCUAGGAAGGGUUUUCCCUAAGGGUUUUUGAAAGGUUUUGGAGGAGCCAAAGCUAAUAGGAAGGUCCAAACCUUAAGCAAGAACACCAAAGAGUAUUGGCUAAGCGUAACUGGACUGAACGUUGGAGGGUGAAAACUUGCUGAGCGCAAAGGACUCCAAGUAAGAACAAGGGCAAGGCAGAGCAGUGAGCGUUGGAGUCUUCCUUGCAAAUGUACAUGUGGACCGACCUUUUGGGAAGCCUUUUUAUUUUUGGAAAUGUUGUGUAAUUUUCCUAAACUAGGCUCACUCUAAUCUUUAUAAAACAUGUUUGUAACUAAAUGUUAAGUAUGGCCAUACGACUUUUUAAAAAGUUUUUUUUUUCUAUGGGUUUUUGAGACAUUUUGUUAAAUGAAAACAUUUAUA